CUCCUCGCUGCCCGCCUCCUCCCUGGCUGCCAGGCGGAGGCCCCCAGCUCAGCUGCAGGAAGCCUGUGAAGGCAGUCAGUGCGUUUCUGCAGCAAGAAAUGGGGCCAGUGCGGAAAUGUGAGCGUCAGCCCACCCUCAGCGCCCUAAGAGCAAGAGUCUUGUGGGAUUGAGUGAAGAGCUCAUUGGCAGAAAGACCAAAGGCUUCUCCACCUGUCCACACACCCAUCAUUCAUCUAGAGCUCAGAAGUGGGGUGAUGGUCACGGAGAUGGAUAUUGCCCCCUUAAUUUGAACUGAAAGAUGAAGACACGCUUUCCUCUUGGGGAAAGCAUGUCUGAUUGGCUUAUUGGACCAACAAUGAGGACUGGCUUUGCCAACUGCUUGUACAGUGGAUAUUUCCCAUGAAUCAGAUGAAUUAAGUCUAUAGCUGCAACAUUUUGUCAAAAAUAUGGCCGGGCGCGGUGGCUCACGCCUGUAAUUCCAACACUUUGCGAUGCCGAGGCAGAGAGAUCACCUGAAGUCAGGAGUUCAAGACCAGCCUGGCCAACAUGGCAAAACCCCGUCUCUACUAAAAAAAAAAAAAAAUACAAAAAUUAGCCUAGCAUGGUGGCAUGUGUCUGUAAAUCCCAGCUACUCAGGAGGCUGAGGCAGAAGAAUUGCUUGAACCUGGGAGGUGGAGGUUGCAGUGAGCCAAGAUCAUGCCAUCACUCCAGCCUGGGUGACAGAGCAAGACUCCAUCUCAAAAAAAAAAAAAAAAAAAAAAAAAAAAUAUAUAUAUAUAUAUAUAUAUAUAUGAAUCAUAUUACAAGAGCCUUUAACAAUAGUUUGGGGGGAAAGUAUAUUGAAAUUAAAAACAUUAAAUUUUUCCAAUUCUUUCUGCAAAUGUCUGGUUAAACAAGGUGCCUUUAUUUAAGUGAAAGAGUGACAGGUAUAAUCACCAGCUCCUGGGUGACUCUUGGAAAACUCUUUUUGGUGCACUGUUAUGCUGGACCCCUGUUGACUUCAAUAGGGAUGGC
rnacentral:lncRNA from 1 species